CAACACGGUUAUAAUAUCAGCAGAAUGCUGGCAACAUCUCUCAACGUCAGUGGAGAGCUUCGAUCCAUACAUGAUGGGAAGGAAGGGAAGAGGAAACACUGACUAGAUCUUUUUCCAGCCUGUCUUUGAAACAGUUUUCUUGGAGGGAAUGACAUUUUUAAUGCCAGACAAAUGGUAUUGACCAACAGGACAAGAGAGUGAUGGAGACAUGAUGUCAGCAGAAACCAAGAUUAUGGGAGUCUACUUCUGAACAGAUUAGAGUAGCACUGGCCACCAGGGGUGUCCCAUGGCAAUAAGAAUCCUUGUUGCUGCUCAGCUGAUUCAACUGGCCACCAAGACAAAAGAAAUGGAAGGUGUCAUCAGCAUGAUGCUUGCCUCCUGAAUUUGGUUCUUGCCAAGAGAAGAUGACACUUCUGCUCCAUGAAAUGUAGUCUAAAGGUUGUUUGGGAAGCAGCAGGAAAACACCACGGGUGGAGCCAUUUCCCUUUCAGCUUUAACAAGUACACAGCAUCUCCAGAUACCUGAAGUCACCUAUUCUGAGUCAGGGGUAUGAGAAGAGAAGCACUGUAUCUUUCAUAAAAAGUGAGCAUCACCUACCUCUCAUUAAAGC